AUAUAGAAGAAGGAGAAGGAGAAGAGAGAAUAGUUAGUGUUAAAAUAGCGUGUCUGCUCAAAACAAGACAAAAAAAGGACAAGCAGCACAUGAUGGCUUUGAUAAACUUUUAUUAAGCAAAUCCCAUUUCUAUUAGAUUCACGCAUUUUUUUAAGGGACUCCAAACAGUGCCAAACAGAGAGCUAUCACUUCCUUUGAAGGAAGAGAUCUGUGUUAGAGACAGAGAUAGAAAAACAGAGAAAAGAGAUCUGUAAGCUAGUGUUUGGUGUUUGGCAUUUACUCCUAAAACACGCGAUUCCUUUCAUGGAUUACUAUCACAAGACUUUCUUCUUUUUUAUAUGACUUUAUUUUCUCUCUCCGUGUUCAUAAAAUACGGAAGUGUUUGUAUUCAACAGUGCUCUCCUUUGGAUCUCUGUGUGGCAUUUGUGCUAUCUAGUUGAAAAUACGGGCUGUUUGUUUGUGUUCUAUCUCUGCAAAUGCUUGUUUAAGGUGAUUAGUGGGUGUUUUAGUGCUCGAUUUGGGCAAUUAUGAUGGAAGAAUUUGAAGAACCCUAUAGCAUUAGCUUUCAGACAGAUUCUUUGCACUCUGGCUCCAUAUCAUUUGGAAGAUUUGAAAGAGAAGACUUAUCUUGGGAAAGGAGGUCAUCUUUCUCUCACAAUAGAUAUCUUGAAGAGGUUGAGAAAUGCUCAAAACCAGGUUCAGUUAUCGAGAAGAAAGCUUAUUUUGAAGCCCAUUUCAAGCAAAAGGGUAUGCAACUACCAGCUUCUUUUGGGGGGCAAAAUGGGAUAGAAUACCAUGGUGAAAAUGCUGUUUUUGAAAAUGUGGGCCACAAAGAAGAAGAUGAUAAUGCAAAUGGAAGUAGCAAUUAUACUCAGUUUGAGGAGGGUGCACUUGAGAAUGUGGAAUAUGCAGAAUUUUACGAUGGAUAUGCAAGAGGUCAAUUUGAUCAUGCAAAUGAUAGCGGCCAAUAUGCUCACUUUGAUGACAGCCCUGAAGGGUCAGAGUAUUGUGGAGAAUGCCAGGUGAUGGAAUGUGAAAGAGAAGAUCCUGAAUCUCAGAUUGAAGCUUCUUCAGUCAAUGCUAAUGUUUUUGUAGAAGGUGUCUUUGAAGACAUUAAACCUCAAGAAGCACAUCAAACUGUAACUGGACCUGACAAUAAUGAAAGACAAGAAAUAGGAAUAAAGGAGAACCUUAAUGACAAUGCUGCUAAUGUGGACACGUCAUCUAGGCCUUUUGACCCAUCCCCAAAAAGUGGAACACUUGGGAGUGAUAAAACUACUGCAGUACAUCAGCAAAAUCUUUCUCCAAAGUUGCGAGUUCCAAUGGAAAGUAAACAUAGCGAGCCCAGAUUGAAGUCCCAGGCUAAUGCCAAUCAAGUCCAGAAAGCCAAUCAAAAUGAUGCAUUAAAAACAACUGUGAAGAAGCUAAAUUGGAGGGAAAGAGAGAGUCCACAAAGAAUGAAAUCAGAAAAGCAUUCACCACAAGCUGCCAUUCCAACCAGAUGCAUGCUGCUCAGAACUCUGAAAGGAGAGGAUUCUGAAAUUUGUAAUUCAAGAUCAAAUCUUGCAAAUAAAAGUGACAGAGAACCAAAGAUCAAGAAAGUAGUUGAAUCUGAAAGCUCUGGAUCAAAGAAAGUUGAACCUAGAACACGUCAGAGCGCUAACAGAUUUAAGCAGACUGUUAGCUCAGAUAAGCCAGACACAAGGACAAGCACUGCAGCUUUCAAUUUCAGAAGUGAUGAACGAGCAGAAAGGAGGAAAGAGGCAAGCAAGUUUGCUAUUGUUUCAAAUAUAAAUUUUUUAAAGUUUAGGGAACUUAUUAAAUGCUUUCCUUUUUUAAAGUUUAGUUCUACAUGAAGUUGGAAGAAAAAAUGCACGCAAAGGAAACUGAGAUGAAUCAGAUUCAAGCAAAAACACAAGUAAGUGGAAUCUUCCAAUAACUGUCUUUUGUCACCAUCUCUAAAGUUUAUUGAAAAUUCUGUUCUGGCCUACUUCAUUAUGUCAAAAGAAGGCUGGUAUGAGUUUCAAACUCAAUGCUUCUAAAAGUAGUGCCAAAAUAUUAACAUUAUUAUGAAACUUCGAGUUUAGUGCCAAAAAAAUCCCUUAAGUAGUGUAAGGUUAUAAUGGAUUAAAUAGCAUCCACUCAUACAUCAAUUUUUAGAAACCAUUACUUCUAUUGUUUAAUUCGUAUGAGUUAAUGGAAUGAUGUUGUUGAAGGAAAAGACUGAGGCUGAGAUUAAACAAUUCCGGAAAAGCCUUAAUUUCAAAGCAAUACCUAUGCCUUCUUUCUAUCAUGCUGCUGCAUCACCAGGUUCCAAUGGAAACAAGGCCACAUCAUCUAAAACCAAACCAGCUAAAAUACAACAGAAGCCAGUAAGUCCAGGAAGUGGAGCCGCUUCAAGAUCACAAUUGUUUUCCAAGUCAGGAAAUAACCAUGCUGUCUCUGCUGUAGAACCUGUAAACACAAGCAAUCUGCCUGAGUCCUUAGGGCCAACUGAUUGCCAUGCAAUAGCACCUUCUGAAGCUGGUGAAAGGGAAACCCUAGCAAGAAACAACAGCAGCCACCCAGAAGCUGCACUGAAAAAUGGUUGCGCUGGCAAAGACUUGGAGAAAGUGAAGAAUACCAAUUUGCAAAGACAUAAAGUGUCAGAGAAUGGUAAAGUGUCAAAGGACCAGAGGGUUGAGGGCAGGCCAAAAAUGGGAAACCGAAGAAAUAGCAGUGAGAUGGUGAGGAAAAGUAUCAAGGGUGUUGGAAUUGGCAGCAAUUCCGGAGUGGGUCGUGUAGCUGUUGGUGUAGCCUCCUGAUCUGAGUUAUGUUCUCCACUGGCUGAAAGAUGCUAUCUUAGUUGCCUGUGAUGGUAUGUUUUGCAUGCUCCCUGCUGUAUUAAUAGAAGUGCAAGGGAAAUGGUGGUGGGAUCAGGCAAUGUCCCACGUAAAUCUCAACAUAUUACAAUGGGCUGUGUGGAGAUAGCAUUUCCCUUGUGUCAUUGCUUAGCAUAUGUGUUGCAGGUAUUGUACCAUGUGGAUGGAAUAGGUAAAUAAUAAUGGUGGCUUGAUCACGGGAAUUGUUGAAAUUGAAGGUUCUCUUGCCGGAGUCAUAUAUGAAAACAGCAACGGGAGUUUCAAGUCUUGUGAAGUAUUUAUUAUCUAAUAAUAAAAGUAUCUUGCGUCUGGUAGUAUGUAUGAUACUUGUCAAGCAUAUGAAUGUAGACAAAGACUGCAAAAAUUUUAAUGUAAAAAAUUAUGCAAUUAAUUUCAUAAACAAGACUUAGAUAUAUGUUAUUUGAGAUCCCAGGACCCAGGGGGGCUUUUACUAUGGUUACCACAAUUUUUAGCCAUCAUCGGGAAACGGUGGCAGGUGUUGUUUUGGUAGAAAUGGUGAUGUUCAUUGGCAGUGGAGGAUGCUUUUAUUGUUUUACCGUUUAGAAGUUUUUAUGUUUUUCAAAUUAUUAUAUACUUUUGAUAUAUAUGUACCAUCUCUCUUAAUGUGAGCUCCUUCAGAUUCAUAGAAAAACUGAAUUUAUGCAAGUAUUUG
rnacentral:misc_RNA from 1 species